rnacentral:rRNA from 1 species
UACGUAGGGGGCAAGCGUUGUCCGGAUUUAUUGGGCGUAAAGCGCGUGUAGGCGGCCACGCAGGUCCGCUGUGAAAACUCGAGGCUCAACCUCGAGCUGUCGGUGGAAACCGCGUGGCUAGAGUCCGGAAGAGGGGACUGGAAUUCCCGGUGUAGCGGUGGAAUGCGCAGAUAUCGGGAGGAACACCCGUGGCGAAGGCGGGUCCCUGGGACGGUACU